GACCCGGUGGUGUAGUGGCUAUCACACCUACUUUAAGUAACUCCGGUGCUUGACAUAAAUAGGAAGCCUUUGUUCGAUUCGAAGUCAGCUUU